GAUGAACGCUGGCGGCGUGCUUAACACAUGCAAGUCGAACGGUGAAGGCGGAGCUUCUCUGCUGGAUCAGUGGCGAACGGGUGAGUAACACGUGAGCAAUCUGCCCCUGACUCUGGGAUAAGCGCUGGAAACGGCGUCUAAUACUGGAUACGAGCUGCGAAGGCAUCUUCAGCAGCUGGAAAGAAUUUCGGUCAGGGAUGAGCUCGCGGCCUAUCAGCUUGUUGGUGAGGUAAUGGCUCACCAAGGCGUCGACGGGUAGCCGGCCUGAGAGGGUGACCGGCCACACUGGGACUGAGACACGGCCCAGACUCCUACGGGAGGCAGCAGUGGGGAAUAUUGCACAAUGGGCGAAAGCCUGAUGCAGCAACGCCGCGUGAGGGACGACGGCCUUCGGGUUGUAAACCUCUUUUAGCAGGGAAGAAGCGAAAGUGACGGUACCUGCAGAAAAAGCGCCGGCUAACUACGUG
rnacentral:rRNA from 1 species